CGGCUACCUUGUUACGACUUCGUCCUAGUCACCAAUCCUACCUUAGGCGCCGCCCUCCUUGCGGUUAGGCAAACGACUUUAGGUAUUACCGGCUCCCAUGACGUGACGGGCGGUGUGUACAAGACCCGGGAACGUAUUCACGGCGGCAUGCUGAUCCACCAUUACUAGCGAUUCCGACUUCAUGCAGUCGAGUUGCAGACUGCAAUCCGAACUGAGAGGCCGUUUUAGGAUUAGCUCCAUCUUGCGAUAUUGCAUCCCUUUGUCGGCCCCAUUGUAGGACGUGUGUAGCCCUAGACGUAAGGAGCAUGCGGACUUGACAUCAUCCCCACCUUCCUCCCCGUUAUCCGGAGCAGUCUCCUUAGAGGGUAACCACUUUCGUGGAAACAACUAAGGAUAAGGGUUGCGCUCGUUGCGGGACUUAACCCAACAUCUCACGACACGGGCUGACGACAGCCAUGCACCACCUGUGGUAGUGUCCUUGCGGAAGACUAUGUUUCCAUAGUUGGUCACUACCAUGUCAAGCCUAGGUAAGGUUCUUCGCGUUGCGUCGAAUUGAACCACAUCCUCCACCGCUUGUGCGGGUCCCCGUCAAUUCCUUUGAGUUUCAACCUUGCGAUCGUACUCCCCAGGUGGGGUACUUAAUGCGUUAGCUGCGGCACUCAUCCUUAAAAAGGACGAACACCUAGUACCCAUCGUUUAGGGCAAGGACUACCAGAGUAUCUAAGUCUGUUUGAUCCCCUUGCUUUCGCG
rnacentral:rRNA from 1 species